AACGUAGGGAAACUUACGCUAAUACCGCUUACGACCUACGGAAAGCAGGGGACCUUCGGGCUUGCGCGAUUGAAUGACCGAUGUCGGAUUACUAUUGGCGGGGUAAAGGCCCACCAGGCGACGAUCCGUAGSUGGUCUGAGAGGAUGAUCGCCCACUGGAACUGAGACACGGCCAGACUCCUACGAGGCAGCAGUGGGGAAUAUUGGACUGGGCGCAAGCCUGAUCCASCCAUACCGCGUGGGUGAAGAAGGSCUUCGGGUUGUAAAGCCCUUUUGUUGGGAAAGAAAUCCAUCUGGCUAAUACCCGGGUGGGAUGACGGUACCCAGAAUAAGCACCGGUAGCUUCGUGCCACACCGCGGUAAUACGAAGGUGCAAGCGUUACUCGGAAUUACUGGGCGUAAAGCGUGCGUAUGUGGUCGUUUAUCCGUU
rnacentral:rRNA from 1 species